CCUACGGGCGGCUGCAGUGGGGAAUAUUGGACAAUGGGGGGAACCCUGAUCCAGCCAUGCCGCGUGUGUGAAGAAGGCCCUCGGGUUGUAAAGCACUUUCAGUGAGGAAGAACGCCUGGUGGUUAAUACCCAUCAGGAAAGACAUCACUCACAGAAGAAGCACCGGCUAACUCCGUGCCAGCAGCCGCGGUAAUACGGAGGGUGCGAGCGUUAAUCGGAAUUACUGGGCGUAAAGCGCGCGUAGGUGGCUCGAUAAGCCGGUUGUGAAAGCCCCGGGCUCAACCUGGGAACGGCAUCCGGAACUGUCAAGCUAGAGUGCAGGAGAGGAAGGUAGAAUUCCCGGUGUAGCGGUGAAAUGCGUAGAGAUCGGGAGGAAUACCAGUGGCGAAGGCGGCCUUCUGGACUGACACUGACACUGAGGUGCGAAAGCGUGGGUAGCAAACAGGAUUAGAUACCCCAGUAGUC
rnacentral:rRNA from 1 species